AUGGGGGCAACGAACUUCUAGCGCCAUGCGAUCACGCACACCAUCACGCGCACCGCGCCGCUGGAUCUGUUGGUUCCACUAUCGCCAUGGAAACAAGGCAGAGAAGUGUGAGAAGGAGCACUCUAACGAUACAAACACUAAGUGUAUUUUUUUCGACGAGCAUCUGCCAGUUUACUCCCGAAAAAAGUAGUGCGUUUCUCUCUACACUCUCACACUUAUCCUGACCGAGACACUCUCAUCAACCCAGCCGAGACCGUGAGCACCAGCUACAACGCAUCCUCAUCGCAGCAGCGCAGCAGCAACAGCUUACCACUACAAGCAAGCCCCGCGCUAAAUACCACCAGCACCAGCAUCAAGCUGAACCCCGGUAAGGCCGAAGUAAUCGAGCGCAUCUAUGUGAACGACAGCAGAACCAACAACAGAUUCCUGAUCGACACCGGCGCCGAGAUUUCCGUCAUACCACCAUCCGCCAAGGACAGAAUGAACCCGAUGCCAGCCAGAAAACUCUUCGCUGCAAACGGCAGCUCAAUCGGUACGUACGGCACAAAAAACCUAACCCUAGACAUCGGUCUUAACCAAUCAUUCACAUGGCCAUUUACAAUAGCUGAUGUAGAUUCGCAUAUUAUCGGAGCUGAUUUUUUAAAACACUUCGAUCUACUCGUAGAUAUCAAACGCAACAAGCUAAUUAAAAACACAUCACUAAUACACUACCAGCACAAGUAUUCGCAUGUAGUUCAAACGAUAGCUUCUCACAUCUCUUAAACGAAUACAAAGAUAUCACGAUACUCGAUAACACACGCAAAGCAGUCAAUACAAACGUAACACAUCAAAUCAUUACCACCGGUCCACCCGUCUUUUGCCGUCCACGCCGUUUGGACCCAGAAAGGUUACGUGAAGCAAAAGCUGAAUUUGACUUUCUCAUAAAAAACGGCAUUUGUAAACCAUCGAAAAGCUGUUGGGCAAGCCCUUUACACCUCGUAAAGAAACCAGAUGGAAAAUGGCGACCCUGUGGGGAUUAUAGGAGCUUGAAUGCUAUUACCGUUCCUGACUGGUAUCCCGUCCCCCACAUUCAAGAUUUUUCAAAUAUUUUAUAUAAUAAAAAAAUAUUUUCAUGCAUCGACUUGCAACGUGCAUAUCAUCAAAUACCUGUGGCUCCUGAAGACAUACCCAAAACAGCAAUUUCAACACCAUUCGGGUUAUUCGAAUUUAAUUUCAUGACAUUUGGCCUUCGAAACGCAGGACAAACGUUACAACGGCACUUGCAUUCCAUCCUUGGCGAUUUAGAUUUUGUUUUUCCGUAUGUUGACGAUUUAUGCGUCGCCUCCGAGAACGAAGAACAGCACCACCAACAUUUGCGCAUAUUGUUCGAACGUUUGAGGCAGAACGGACUAACAAUUAAUCCAACAAAGAGUCAAAUCGCGCAAACAAAAGUAGAAUUUCUCGGUCAUCUUGUAACCGCAGAUGGUAUUAAACCAAAACCCAGCAAGGUUCAAGCUAUUUUUGACUUUCCAAAACCAACCAUAGCCAGACAAAUGAAACGCUUCCUUGGCACGAUUAAUUUUUACCGGCGUUUUAUACCGCAUGCAGCAGAGCGCCAACAAAUUUUGCACGGUAUGAUGAAUGGCAACAUAAAAAAUGACUCCACUAUACUUACCUGGGAUGAAAACAGCACGCAAGCAUUUGAACAAUGCAAACACGAUCUGGCAAACGCAGCUUUAUUAGCUCACCCUUCACCAAAUGCAAAGCUCGCCUUAGAUGUUGACGCUUCAAGUCAUGCUAUAGGAGCUGCAUUAAAUCAGUUGACUGACAAGGGUAUCGAACCUCUCGCUUUCUUUUCUAAAAAAUUGUCACCUGCACUUAAAAAAGCCAGCACUUAUGAUCGCGAACUUUAUGCUAUAUACGAAUCGAUAAAGCAUUUUAAAGACCUUUUGGAAGCACGUGAAUUUAUCGUGUACACGGAUCACAAACCGUUAACCACUGCAUUCGAUCAAAAACUCGAAAGAGCCAAUCCCACGCAACAAAGAAGACUGCUUUUCAUCAGCGAGUACACCACCGAUAUACGACACGUGGCCGGCAAACACAACCUAGUAGCAGAUAUGUUAAGUCGUAUAGAUAGCAUAAACACGCUCAUCGAUUAUAACCAAUUAGCAGAUGCACAACAAACCGAUAGCGAACUACAGCAUUUUUUAAACAACCCACCGAAAACAUCAUCACUGAUAUUAAAAUCACUGGCUAUACCGAACUCUACCAAAUCUAUUUUCUGCGAUAUUUCCACUCGAUACAUCCGACCUUUCGUUUCUAAAGCGCACAGAAAACUGAUCAUCUCCAAACUGCACAGCUUAUCGCAUCCUGGUAUUAGAGGAACAACACACCUGGUAUCGCAACGCUUUGUAUGGCCAUCAGUUAGAAAGGAAUGCAAAGCGUUCGUAGAGACGUGUAUCGAGUGCCAAAAAAACAAAAUAAUACGGCAUAACAAGACACCUACAGCCGCUAUAGCCACACCGAACGCACGCUUCACACACGUACACAUAGAUUUAAUCGGACCACUACCACCAUCAGAAGGAAACGCGUACUGCUUGACGAUGAUCGCCAAAUUUACGCGAUGGCCUGAAGUAAUACCGAUCCCCAACAUCACCGCCGAAACUGUUGCACGUUCCUUUAUUACAGGAUGGAUUUCGAGAUAUGGUGUUCCCUCUAAAAUAACCACCGAUCUCGGAAGGCAGUUUGAAUCGGAAAUGUUUCGUUCAUUGUCCGCAACACUCGGAAUCGACCACCUUCGAACAACACCUUACCACCCCCAAUCAAACGGCCAGAUCGAAAGGAUGCAUCGACAGCUAAAAACCGCUAUCCUUUGCCACAAAAACGCUCGUUGGACGGAAGCACUCCCAAUAGUGUUGCUUGGUAUGCGCUCCACCAUAAAAGAAGACAUCGGUGCAACCAGUGCAGAACUCAUCUAUGGUACAACACUUCGAUUACCUGGUGAAUUUUUUGACGAACCAUCGAAUUCACCUAACAUCACGCCUGACUACAUAGCAAAUCUAAAAAAUAUAAUGUCAUCGUUGAAGCCGUCCCCCACAUCGAACCACAACACGAAAGAAAAAGUAUAUGUACAAAAACAACUAAAUUCCUGUUCCCAUGUUUUUGUCCGCAUCGACGCCGUGAAACCCGCUUUAACCCCUCCUUAUGAUGGUCCAUUUAAAAUAUUAAAACGUAACAAGAAAUCUUUCGUUUUAGAUAUCAGAGACAGGAAAAGUGAAAUUUCCAUCGAUCGUUUGAAGGCCGCAUUCAUGAUGAAUGAUGAGUCUCCGAUCCAAAGCACCACCCCCGUUGAUGAGGAAAACAAUCUGCUCGCCAAAACGACCGACCCACUUGCGACUCGAACUGCCGUCCAUCAGACGAGAUAUGGUAGGAAAAUUUAUCUUCCAGAUAAAUUUUAAAUAAAGGGGGAAGUGAUGUGGCGUACCUCGCACGCAAGCUGCACCACACUAUAGUUGCGCUAAUACACCACACCUGCGUUACACCACACUUGCGUUACACCGCAUGCAAGCAAUCGGCUUAAUUCGGUAAUCGUACCGAACCGGAUAACUGCACUACCGUGCAUCGGAAAUAAAAUAUAAACGCUCUCUUUCAUUUUGACCGCUAAGCGAA